CCAGGUCGUCUUUCCUCCAUUUGCUGAUUAGUUUUGUUCUUGUUGAAUCCACCAGUAAAACCUGAAGGACAACACAUCCUAUGGUUGGCUCCUUUUGUGGGGACAUGCUCGCAGCUAUGCCAACUUGGAAAGAGCUUGCAGUACUUUUGUCUCUUCCUGUGAGCAGAGCUCUCAUCACCCUCCCUGAUGAUUUCUAAUGUUUAGGGAGGGACAAGAACAGAACAGAUGAAGCUUUGGAUGGAUGGAUAGGCGACAGAAUGAGGGAACGCAGCAGAAAGGUUCUCCAGUUUUCCUUCCAGCAUGGACAAAGCCCAUC